UACGUAGGGGGCAAGCGUUGUCCGGAUUCAUUGGGCGUAAAGAGCGUGUAGGCGGCUUGGUAGGUCCGCUGUGAAAACUCGAGGCUCAACCUCGAGAUGUCGGCGGAAACCACUUGGCUAGAGUCCGGAAGAGGAGAGUGGAAUUCCCGGUGUAGCGGUGAAAUGCGCAGAUAUCGGGAAGAACACCUAAGGCGAAGGCAGCUCUCUGGGACGGUACUGACGCUGAGACGCGAAAGCGUGGGGAGCGAACAGG
rnacentral:rRNA from 1 species